ACUGAAUGGUCUAGUGAACUUUUGUUUAUUGAAACGUCCGGUUUGUGGACUAAAGUCCUUUUACUCCUUAAAAGAGUUUCUCUUUUCUGAGUUCGUACGGUUUGAGAAGUGUUUGGUCAUAGACCAGCCCUCAACCAUGAUUAGUACUUGUUUAUAACAUUCUUUGUAAAACCGUCCGGAUGACUACUCCUUAUAGUCUAUCCUUUCAUGUUCGGUAUUAUUCUCUUGCAUGACCAUCCGGUCAUUAUUGUUCAUAUUUCAGUCUUUGGCAUGGAGUUUUGUUCCUAGCCGGAUCAUCCGGC
rnacentral:lncRNA from 1 species